rnacentral:rRNA from 1 species
AGGGAAUCUUCCGCAAUGGGCGAAAGCCUGACGGAGCAACGCCGCGUGAGUGAUGAAGGUCUUCGGAUCGUAAAACUCUGUUAUUAGGGAAGAACAUAUGUGUAAGUAACUGUGCACAUCUUGACGGUACCUAAUCAGAAAGCCACGGCUAACUACGUGCCAGCAGCCGCGGUAAUACGUAGGUGGCAAGCGUUAUCCGGAAUUAUUGGGCGUAAAGCGCGCGUAGGCGGUUUUUUAAGUCUGAUGUGAAAGCCCACGGCUCAACCGUGGAGGGUCAUUGGAAACUGGAAAACUUGAGUGCAGAAGAGGAAAGUGGAAUUCCAUGUGUAGCGGUGAAAUGCGCAGAGAUAUGGAGGAACACCAGUGGCGAAGGCGACUUUCUGGUCUGUAACUGACGCUGAUGUGCGAAAGCGUGGGAUCAAACAGGAUUAGAUACCCUGGUAGUCCACGCCGUAAACGAUGAGUGCUAAGUGUUAGGGGGUUUCCGCCCCUUAGUGCUGCAGCUAACGCAUUAAGCACUCCGCCUGGGGAGUACGACCGCAAGGUUG